rnacentral:rRNA from 1 species
CCUACGGGAGGCAGCAGUAGGGAAUCUUUCACAAUGGGCGAAAGCCUGAUGGAGCAACGCCGCGUGCAGGAUGAAGGCCUUCGGGUUGUAAACUGCUUUUAUAAGCGAGAAAUAUGAUGGUAACUUAUGAAUAAGGAUCGGCUAACUACGUGCCAGCAGCCGCGGUCAUACGUAGGAUCCGAGCAUUAUCCGGAGUGACUGGGUGUAAAGAGUUGCGUAGGUGGCAUAAUAAGUAGCUAGUGAAAUCUGGUGGUCAACCAUUCAGACUAUUAGCUAAACUGUUAAGCUCGAGAACGUUAGGGGUAACUGGAAUUUUUAGUGUAGGAGUGAAAUCCGUAGAGAUUAGAAGGAACACCAAUAGCGUAGGCAGGUUACUGGGACGGUUCUGACACUAAGGCACGAAAGCGUAGGGAGCAAACGGGAUUAGAUACCCUAGUAGUC